rnacentral:rRNA from 1 species
CCACGUUGUAGCGGUGAAAUUGCGUAGAGAUGUGGAGGAACACCAGUGGCGAAGGCGACUCUCUGGUCUGUAACUGACGCUGAGGAGCGAAAGCGUGGGGAGCGAACAGGAUUAGAUACCCUGGUAGUCCACGCCGUAAACGAUGAGUGCUAAGUGUUAGGGGGUUUCCGCCCCUUAGUGCUGCAGCUAACGCAUUAAGCACUCCGCCUGGGGAGUACGGUCGCAAGACUGAAACUCAAAGGAAUUGACGGGGGCCCGCACAAGCGGUGGAGCAUGUGGUUUAAUUCGAAGCAACGCGAAGAACCUUACCAGGUCUUGACAUCCUCUGACAAUCCUAGAGAUAGGACGUCCCCUUCGGGGGCAGAGUGACAGGUGGUGCAUGGUUGUCGUCAGCUCGUGUCGUGAGAUGUUGGGUUAAGUCCCGCAACGAGCGCAACCCUUGAUCUUAGUUGCCAGCAUUCAGUUGGGCACUCUAAGGUGACUGCCGGUGACAAACCGGAGGAAGGUGGGGAUGACGUCAAAUCAUCAUGCCCCUUAUGACCUGGGCUACACACGUGCUACAAUGGACAGAACAAAGGGCAGCGAAACCGCGAGGUUAAGCCAAUCCCACAAAUCUGUUCUCAGUUCGGAUCGCAGUCUGCAACUCGACUGCGUGAAGCUGGAAUCGCUAGUAA